CAGUCGCCACGGUAAUACGUAGGGUGCAAGCGUUAAUCGGAAUUACUGGGCGUGAAGCGUGCGCAGGCGGUUUGUUAAGACAGAUGUGAAAUCCCCGGGCUCAACCUGGGAACUGCAUUUGUGACUGGCAAGCUAGAGUGUGGCAGAGGGGGGUGGAAUUCCGCGUGUAGCAGUGAAAUGCGUAGAUAUGCGGAGGAACACCGAUGGCGAAGGCAGCCCCCUGGGCCAACACUGACGCUCAUGCACGAAAGCGUGGGGAGCAAACAGGAUUAGAUACCCCGGUAGUCCCUGUCUCUUAUAA
rnacentral:rRNA from 1 species